UACGUAGGCAGCAAGCGUUGUUCGGAAUUACUGGGCGUAAAGGGCGCGUAGGCGGCCUUCUAAGUCGAACGUGAAAUCCCCGGGCUCAACCCGGGAACUGCGUCCGAUACUGGAAGGCUUGAAUCCAGGAGAGGGAUGCGGAAUUCCAGGUGUAGCGGUGAAAUGCGUAGAUAUCUGGAGGAACACCGGUGGCGAAGGCGGCAUCCUGGACCGGCAUUGACGCUGAGGCGCGAAAGCCAGGGGAGCAAACGGG
rnacentral:rRNA from 1 species